UUUAUUUGAUAGUACCUUACUACUUGGAUAACCGUGGUAAUUCUAGAGCUAAUACAUGCUAAAAACCCCAACUUCGGGAGGGGUGUAUUUAUUAGAUAAAAAACCAAUGCCCUUCGGGGCUCUUUGGUGAUUCAUGAUAACUUAACGGAUCGCAUGGCCUUGCGCCGGCGACGGUUCAUUCAAAUUUCUGCCCUAUCAACUUUCGAUGGUAAGGUAUUGGCUUACCAUGGUUUCAACGGGUAACGGGGAAUUAGGGUUCGAUUCCGGAGAGGGAGCCUGAGAAACGGCUACCACAUCCAAGGAAGGCAGCAGGCGCGCAAAUUACCCAAUCCCGACACGGGGAGGUAGUGACAAUAAAUACUGAUACAGGGCUCUUUUGGGUCUUGUAAUCGGAAUGAGUACAAUUUAAACCUCUUAACGAGGAACAAUUGGAGGGCAAGUCUGGUGCCAGCAGCCGCGGUAAUUCCAGCUCCAAUAGCGUAUAUUAAAGUUGUUGCAGUUAAAAAGCUCGUAGUUGAAUCUUGGGCCUGGCUGGCCGGUCCGCCUCACCGCGUGUACUGGUCUGGCCGGGCCUUUCCUUCUGGAGAACCUCAUGCCCUUCAUUGGGUGUGGCGGGGAACCAGGACUUUUACUUUGAAAAAAUUAGAGUGUUCAAAGCAGGCCUUUGCUCGAAUACGUUAGCAUGGAAUAAUAGAAUAAGGACGUGCGGUCCUAUUUUUGUUGGUUUCUAGGACCGCCGUAAUGAUUAAUAGGGAUAGUCGGGGGCAUCAGUAUUCAAUUGUCAGAGGUGAAAUUCUUGGA
rnacentral:rRNA from 1 species